rnacentral:rRNA from 1 species
AAGGUACGCCGGGGAUAACAGGCUAAUUAUCCUCUAGAGACCCUAUCGACGGGAUAGUUUGGCACCUCGAUGUUGGAUUAUCGCAUCCUGGAGCUGUAAGCGGUUCCAAGGGUUUGGCUGUUCGCCAAGGAAGGCGGUACAUGAUCUGAGUUUAGAACGUCGUGAGACAGUUUGGUCCCUAUCUACCGUAGACGAGAAAAUUUAAAAGGAGUAAACCAUAGUACGAGAGGACCUGGAAAAAUGAAUCUCUUGUGUAUCGGUUGUUUUACCAAAGGCAUCGCCGAGUAGCUACAUUCAUAAUAAAUAAUCGCUGAAAGCAUUUAAGCGAGAAAUUAUCCUUUAAUUGUUUUCAAAAAAAGUGUAAUAGAAUAUUACGUAAUAGGCUUGAUGUG